rnacentral:lncRNA from 1 species
CGCGACGCCGGGUGGGCGGGUGGCCGAUCUGCCGCUGGCUGGUUCGGGAUUUGGGGUAAAACUUUUCGAAGACUGAUUCGCCGGUGGGGUCUAUAAACAAGUCCCGCAAAAGGUAUCACCGAAUGGUUGGAGUUUGCGAAUAGAUCUGGCACAAAUAAUACAUACAUCACUGUAUCAUUGACCUGGGCUUAUUUUUGAAGUCAAGAUAUUUUGACAGAAAAAAUUGAAGUCAGCUCUUUGGAGGAAAAAAAACAUCGAUGAAUCUGUAAAAAGGAAGUCGGCUUACUCCCAUCGGGAACAUGCCACAUAUUUGUAAUGCCAUAUAUAAAUAAAAAUUAUAUAUAUAUA